rnacentral:rRNA from 1 species
AGAGUUUGAUCAUGGCUCAGGAUGAACGCUGGCGGCGUGCCUAACACAUGCAAGUCGAGCGAUCUUCUUCGGAAGAGAGCGGCGGACGGGUGAGUAACGCGUGGGUAACCUGCCUCAUACACAUGGAUAACAUACCGAAAGGUAUGCUAAUACAAGAUGAUAUAAGAGAUUCGCAUGGAUUUCUUAUCAGAGCUCCGGCGGUAUGAGAUGGACCCGCGUCUGAUUAGCUAGUUGGUAAGGUAACGGCUUACCAAGGCGACGAUCAGUAGCCGACCUGAGAGGGUGAUCGGCCACAUUGGAACUGAGACACGGUCCAAACUCCUACGGGAGGCAGCAGUGGGGAAUAUUGCACAAUGGGCGAAAGCCUGAUGCAGCAACGCCGCGUGAGCGAUGAAGGCCUUCGGGUCGUAAAGCUCUGUCCUCAAGGAAGAUAAUGACGGUACUUGAGGAGGAAGCCCCGGCUAACUACGUGCCAGCAGCCGCGGUAAUACGUAGGGGGCUAGCGUUAUCCGGAUUUACUGGGCGUAAAGGGUGCGUAGGUGGUUUCUUAAGUCAGGAGUGAAAGGCUACGGCUCAACUGUAGUAAGCUCUUGAAACUGGGAAACUUGAGUGCAGGAGAGGAAAGUGGAAUUCCUAGUGUAGCGGUGAAAUGCGUAGAUAUUAGGAGGAACACCAGUAGCGAAGGCGGCUUUCUGGACUGUAACUGACACUGAGGCACGAAAGCGUGGGGGAGCAAACAGGAUUAGAUACCCUGGUAGUCCACGCCGUAAACGAUGAGUACUAGGUGUCGGGGGUUACCCCCCUCGGUGCCGCAGCUAACGCAUUAAGUACUCCGCCUGGGGAGUACGCUUGCAAGAGUGAAACUCAAAGGAAUUGACGG